GUGGGGGGGGGGGGGAGGGGGGCGGGUCUCUCUGAGCCAAUAUGAUUGGUGUCCUUGUACAGAGGACAAACUUGGACACAGACACAUGUCUGCAGACAGAGAUGGGGGUGAAGCUUCUGCAAGCCAAGGGACACCAAAGAUUGCCAGGAAACCACCAGAGGCUGGGAGAGAGGUAUGGACCGGAUGUCCCUCGCGGCCACCGAGGGAGCCAGCCUGCUCUCAAAUCUGCAUCAAGUUUUGCUUUCAAUGGCUCUUCCCAGUGAAAGUACACAACAGCCGUUUUUCAAGAGGCUGCCAGGGAGUGUCAUUCGAUGUCGCCGAGGAACCCCCCCACACAGAUCUCAUGAGACAGCGCACCCAGGCAGAGUGGGCCACGGUGGGCCUCCUCACUGCGGCCAGAAACCUCAAAAUUGAAAAUUCCCAGUACUUCUUCAGGCCUUCCCAUGGAGCCCCAGUCUUGCCCGGGAAGAGGCUGGACACUGGAAUCAAACUGUGGAACGGGGGUGUGCCAGUGGCCAGAGCUGGGGGAGCUGCUUAAAAACAUCUUCUUUGGGGCGCCUGGGUGGCGCAGUCGGUUCAGCGUCCGACUUCAGCCAGGUCAUGAUCUCACGGUCCGUGAGUUCAAGCCCCGCGUCAGGCUCUGGGCUGACGGCUCAGAGCCUGGAGCCUGUUUCCGAUUCUGUGUCUCGCUCUCUCUCUGCCCCUCCCCCGUUCAUGCUCUGUCUCUCUCUGUCCCCAAAAUAAAUAAAAACGUUGAAAA
rnacentral:lncRNA from 1 species